AACGAACGCUGGCGGCAUGCCUAACACAUGCAAGUCGAACGAGACCUUCGGGUCUAGUGGCGCACGGGUGCGUAACGCGUGGGAACCUGCCCUUAGGUUCGGAAUAACUCCCCGAAAGGGGUGCUAAUACCGGAUAAUGUCUUCGGACCAAAGAUUUAUCGCCUUUGGAUGGGCCCGCGUUGGAUUAGCUAGUUGGUAGGGUAAAAGCCUACCAAGGCGAUGAUCCAUAGCUGGUCUGAGAGGAUGAUCAGCCACACUGGGACUGAGACACGGCCCAGACUCCUACGGGAGGCAGCAGUGGGGAAUAUUGGACAAUGGGCGAAAGCCUGAUCCAGCAAUGCCGCGUGAGUGAUGAAGGCCUUAGGGUUGUAAAGCUCUUUUACCCGGGAUGAUAAUGACAGUACCGGGAGAAUAAGCACCGGCUAACUCCGUG
rnacentral:rRNA from 1 species